UACGUAGGGGGCAAGCGUUGUCCGGAAUUAUUGGGCGUAAAGAGCGUGUAGGCGGCCAGAUAAGUCCGCUGUGAAAUCUCCGGGCUUAAUCCGGAGCGGCCAAGUGAUACUGUUGUGCUAGAGUGCGGAAGGGGCUACUGGAAUUCUCGGUGUAGCGGUGAAAUGCGUAGAUAUCGAGAGGAACACCUGCGGCGAAGGCGGGUAGCUGGGCCGACACUGACGCUGAGGCGCGAAAGCCAGGGGAGCGAACGGG
rnacentral:rRNA from 1 species